rnacentral:rRNA from 1 species
GACGAACGCUGGCGGCGUGCUUAACACAUGCAAGUCGAACGGAAAGGCCCUGCUUUUGUGGGGUGCUCGAGUGGCGAACGGGUGAGUAACACGUGAGUAACCUGCCCUUGACUUUGGGAUAACUUCAGGAAACUGGGGCUAAUACCGGAUAGGAGCUCCUGCUGCAUGGUGGGGGUUGGAAAGUUUCGGCGGUUGGGGAUGGACUCGCGGCUUAUCAGCUUGGUGGUGGGGUAGUGGCUUACCAAGGCUUUGACGGGUAGCCGGCCUGCGAGGGUGACCGGCCACAUUGGGACUGAGAUACGGCCCAGACUCCUACGGGAGGCAGCAGUGGGGAAUAUUGCACAAUGGGCGGAAGCCUGAUGCAGCAACGCCGCGUGCGGGAUGACGGCCUCCGGGUUGUAAACCGCUUUCGCCUGUGACGAAGCGUGAGUGACGGUAAUGGGUAAAGAAGCACCGGCUAACUACGUG